CGUCACGAGAGGCCGUCGCCAAGCUCCGACUGGACGGCACGCCAACCCCACGCUCGUGGGUGGCUCGGAUGAGGACGCGGCCCCAGCCGACCGGCGCGGGCAAGAGCGCCUC
rnacentral:ncRNA from 2 species